UAUACCAAAGUCUGAAUACAACAAGAGUCUAAAAAUGUACUAAAUACAGUAAUAAUAACGAGUGGAAGGAAGCAUUGCUGCGAACAUCGUGCAAACAUCUUGCUAACUCUGAUGACUCCGCAUCUCAGUAAUCAACACCCACUACCGGGUUCCGAAAUACCUGAAUCUGCACACGAGAUGCACGGAGUUAUAUGAUUACUCCAACCAAGCAAGUAAUAAGAGUAAAUAAAUACUGAGCAGUAGGAAACUAUGAAUCUACAUUUAUGAUAAUCUCAAUAAGCACAACAUGCUUCUAAAUCAGAAUACGAGUCAAUCGUCUCAUUUAAAACCCAGCUUUUGUUAAAAUUCAUUUGAAAUUUCUUUCCAACUGUUUCAAUAGGGGUUGAAUACCCUUUAUGAUAAAAGAGAUGAAACCAUAAUUGCACCCCGGGUUAAACAUAGUUCGUAUACAGCCCAUCGUGCAAAACAGAAAUUUCACAACCCUUUUCAUAAAUUAGAAACUUCAAUUUAAAUGAGAGAUUAUUUAAAACAUUUGUUCAACAUUUUAAAUAGAGGCUCGGUUCAAAGAUGAGUGAAAGCAUUAAUCAAAUCAACAUGUUCAACAGAAAUUCUCUUUAAAGAAGAGUGAAAACAGUAAGUUCAUAAACCAGCCCCUUAGGCAAUGCAUCACUUAUGUACAUGUAUAUCUAUGUAGCCCCUCGGGCAAGCCUCUCAUUCAAUCGUGAAUCAACUCUUACCAAUCAGCACUCACACUUAUCACUCACACUCAAUAGGUACCAUAUAGUAGCCACUACGGUGCGCAGUCCAAUCCAUCUAUCACUGCAGCGUGCAGCCCAAUCCAUUUAUAUGGUCGAUUGCGCUCACUGGAAGUGUGCAGACUGCGCCGGGGGGGGGGGACGCUCCUACAACCCGAGUGCUAUAUCGCUGUGGGGUUCAACCCGAUCCAACAUAUUGCUACGGCGUGCAGCAAGAUCCAUAUACAUAAAUAUAUUGCUGCGGCGCGCAACCCCAUCCAUAGAUAUAUAAUCCUCAUAACAAGGCCCUCAGCCUCUCUCAGUCAGUAACCUCACAAUCAAACUCUCGGUCAAUCUCAGUCAUCAACCUUACAAUCAGACCCUCGGUGUAUCUCAGCCAUCAACCUCACGAUCACUCGGACCAUCAGUAAAACGGGUAACUCACCCCAAACCGUUUUCAUAUUUUUAAUAAAUGAAGUGAUAAAACCAAAUUUAAAAAAUAAAUAGGUAAAACAUGAUUGAGGAUAUGCUUUCAAAACAACUAGAGUGAGGCAAAAUAGUGGAAGUGCCCCUAAGGGUCUCAGCAAGUCGGCACAAGGCUGCAAACAUGGCAUACAGUCCAAAAUAUAAUAUAAAUCUCUAGAACAUGGAAUAUCAUAAGAUUUAGAAUCAAAUAUGCGACUUAACAGUCGUACAGGACUGACCAAGUAACAAUCCCCAAUGGUACACAACUCCACGCUCUUCAUCUAGCAUGUUCGUCAACUCAAAGUAACACAACGAUGUGAAAUCCAGGGUUUCAAACCCUUAGGACAAUAUUUAUAAUCAUUAAUUACCUCAAUCCGGUCCAAACUCUAGCCCGUGAUGCCUUUGCCAUCACGAAUCAAACUCUGGAUGCUCCAAAUCUAGCCACAAUCAGUGCAUAACCAUUAGAAUAUGCUAAGGGAACAAAGCCCACUCGAAAAUAUCAAAUUUACAUCAAUAAUCCCAAAAUUUCUCAAACCCAGCCCCCGGGCCCAUGUCUCGAAAUCUGACGAAAUUACCAUCAAUAAAAUCCCCAUCCACUCACGAGUUCAUAUACGCCAAAAAGCAUCAAAAUUGGACCUCAAAUGGCCCCUCAAAUCCUAAAACGACCGGUCGGGUCAUUAGAGGAAAGGGGGCAAGUUUUGAAAUAGUUCAAUUUUCAAAAAGGGGGAAAGUCUUGAAAUAGAUCAACUUUCUGAAGAGAGAAAGUUCAAAAUACAGAGUUGCGGGUAGAAAUGCACCAAGAAACAAACAGGUUCAUGUUUAGCACGUAGUCAAACAGAAUGACAUCUAAUUAAGCUAGAUACUCAUGCUAGUAUUAAAACAAUCAUGGCUUAAACAGAGAGAUAGAAAUACUUGAAUUAAACAAACAUGACAUAUGAAUUAAGACACAAACAAAUUUGAUUACAUGCUUACAACAUGUUUACGAGAAUACCUAAACCUAAACUAACUUAGGAAAGAGUUCACAUUACUGAACUGACUUAGGUUAACAUGGUUACUAAUAGGAUCACAUAGUCAUAUAGAAAGCCAAAUUAUGCUGAGGAUUGAAACAGACUAAUCGAAUAAAGCAUAGAGAAACAGAAUUGCAAGAGCUAGGGUAUACCAGUUAAGUGAGUAACACAAGUAGCAACAGAUGAACUAAUGCAGGAAUGAAAAACACAUAGGGUUUGGAUUCUAAAACUUAACUAGAGACAUACCAAUUGAAAAAGGGUGGGAAUAUAAAGUAAAUAAAGUUUCAAUAUCUAGCCUUGGCUUUCAGCCGAGUAAAUCAGUGAGUAACACAAGUAGCAACAGAGACAGAGAACUUUAGAGCGUAAGGAGUAGUGGUUUUUUGGAACUAAUAUUCAUUAUGUAGAACUUAAAAUAAGAGGAGGUUUAUAUAGUAAUAAAAGCAUGCCACAUACGCGAAGAGAUCAAUUAAGUAGUAAAACAAGGAAGUCACAUGUAAAUCAGCAAGAUCUUCCCUCAAUCAAGGGACAACUUAGAUCAACGGUAAAAUCAUGCUAAGCAUUUAAGGAAAGAGAAUCAGAUAUGGCUUAGUAUAGAGUAGGUAAUUACGAAUAAAUGAACACUAGUUUAAUUAAGGAAACAAAUAAGUAAUAAUCAACACAAUACAAACAAGGCACAGAAAAACAAUCAAGGCAAGCAAUUCAGUCAAAUCAAAUAGAGACGUAAGAAUCAAGAGUUAAAUGGAAAGUGUUCAAAUUAAACAAGGAAAUACGGGAUACAGAGUAAUCAAGGGUCUAGAAAGUCAUGAAAGAGUCCACAUGUUUAGGAUAUAAAGUAAGGUAGAACAUGAAUAGUCAGGAUUUCACAUAGCUUUAGCAAAACACAUAGUUAAACGACACUGAUUCAAGGAGAAAUAUACAAGUCUUAACAUGAAUGGUCAGAAUGAAUACAAGCACAUAAAAUCAGAGAAAGGUCGAACUAAAAGAUUCAAUAGAAGCAUAUUAGGACAAGAAAAUCAUGAGAAAUUACAAGAACCCAAAGCAAGAACACAAUCAGAUAUACUAAUAUUAAGAAACCAAAUGAAGAACCCGCAAAAUUAGGGCUUUUGGUACAAACGAGUUAGGGUUAUCGAAGACUCAUAAAAACUAUUCAAAAUAUAUGAGAAGCAGACAUUUAAACACAAGAAAUCAUGAAACAAAUUUAAAAAGAAAUUCCAGAAAUCCUAGUUUUAGGAAAAGAUGAAAAUCAUAUGAUUCUUGUAUAGAAUCUUAAUGUUAUUGUAAAACUCAUAGGUAACAAACUCAAAUAAUCUUAGAUCUGUACAAAUCUGGGAGGUCUGAAAAGAAAUUAGAGUUGCAAAGUGAACCAUAAAGAGAUGAAGAAACAUACCAAGAAACCCAUAGAUCAUAACUAAUAUAGGAUGAUCUUAC
rnacentral:lncRNA from 1 species